rnacentral:tRNA from 1 species
GCCAUCCGCUGGAGAACAUGGCGCUCAUGGCCCUGGGCGGGCUGUGGCUGUCGGCGCUGCUGCUGGUUCCGUGGCCUGCCCGGCGGCU